GAUGAACGCUGGCGGUGUGCCUAAUACAUGCAAGUCGAGCGGCAGCACGGUCUUCGGACUGGUGGCGAGCGGCGGACGGCUGAGUAACGCGUGGGAACGUGCCCCAAAGUGAGGGAUAACUCCGGGAAACCGGGGCUAAUACCGCAUAUGAUCUUCGGAUUAAAGUAUUUAUACGCUUUGGGAGCGGCCCGCGUACGAUUAGAUUGUUGGUGAGGUAAAGGCUCACCAAGUCGACGAUCGUUAGCUGGUCUGAGAGGAUGAUCAGCCAGACUGGGACUGAGACACGGCCCAGACUCCUACGGGAGGCAGCAGUAAGGAAUCUUCCACAAUGGGCGAAAGCCUGAUGGAGCAACACCGCGUGAAGGAUGAAGGCCCUCGGGUCGUAAACUUCUUUUAUGAGCGAAGAAUAUGACGGUAACUCAUGAAUAAGGGUCGGCUAACUACGUGCCAGCAGCCGCCGCGG
rnacentral:rRNA from 1 species